rnacentral:rRNA from 1 species
UGUAGUCAUAUGCUUGUCUCAAAGAUUAAGCCAUGCAUGUCUAAGUAUAAACAAAUUUGUACUGUGAAACUGCGAAUGGCUCAUUAAAUCAGUUAUAGUUUAUUUGAUGGUACCUUGCUACAUGGAUAACUGUGGUAAUUCUAGAGCUAAUACAUGCAAUCAAGCCCCGACUUCCGGAAGGGGUGUAUUUAUUAGAUAAAAAACCAACGCGGUUCGCCGCUCCCUUGGUGAUUCAUAAUAACUUCUCGAAUCGCAUGGCCUUGUGCCGGCGAUGCUUCAUUCAAAUAUCUGCCCUAUCAACUUCGAUGUAGAAAGA